GAAAAGUGUUUGAAAUGAGGUGUCAAUAAAUAUUUUCAAAAAAAAAAAAUCUUAUCUGUUCUUAUCAGUUUAAUAUCUGAUAUGUCCUCUAUAAGGGGACAACAUAUUAAACGGAUUUUUAGCAUCAGGAGCUGAAAAAGGGGCUUGCUCCAUUCACUCCACGCAUCGACUCGGUAUUGCAGUGCCGCUGGGAACGGUGCACCCUUCUCCUACCUUGUGGAAAACCAAAUACCAACGCAAACCGAGCGGCAAGUCGCUCAAUUUGACACUGCACUGAAAGACACGUGAGUCACAGUGGAUGGUGGUCUUUGCUGCCUGGAGUCGUGGCUAAAAAAGGCUCUGUUGACUCCUCACUGAGGUUCCAUAUAGAACGUCAUUGGGGGGUCUCAGUCAGAAAUGGCUCUAUAAGCCGUGACAACUGGGGGAAAAGUGCAGCGUCGAAUCGGCAGCAAGACAAAGCCUCAAAAAGAUGCAGCUAGACUUGCACUUUUGAUUGGCAGAAAAAAAAACAGGCCAGAGGGAAUAUUGCCACCGUGACAAUGUGGGACAGGGUGGGGGAAUGGGUGUGGCCUCGGAUUUGGAACGUGGCAUGCCAAGUGAGGCUUACCGUGACCGCAUUGACUGGGACACCUAGUGUCUUGGACUGCUCUCGAGAUAGGGCUGUACUUACUCUGGUUUCUCUUCAUAACGUACAAGUCUUUCGCCUUUUACUAAAGACUUCCGUGGAGAGGGACACCAAUGAGUUAAACCUAUUUUUAGCAGGCUUUGCCGUUUGGCUGAGCCUUGUGCAUUUGUGAAAGACAAAAAAGCUGUCUUCAGCUAGAUUUCGCUGCUUCAACAUGAAGGGCUUGGGCGGGGCUGCUAAGCAGCAGCCAUGGUUUUGACCAAAUUAAAAGUACUGCACCACAACAAGUGACAACUGUGCAUGGAGCUGGGGUCGGGCAGCAAACAGUUGGUGGUCAUCGCUUCUCGGCCUUUUGGCUAAGAUCAAGUGUAGUAUCUGUUCUUAUCAGUUUAA